GAUGAAGAACGUAGCGAAAUGCGAUAAGUAAUGUGAAUUGCAGAAUUCAGUGAAUCAUCGAAUCUUUGAACGCACAUUGCGCCCGCCAGUAUUCUGGCGGGCAUGCCUGUUCGAGCGUCAUUUCAACCAUCAAGCCCCAGGCUUGUGUUGGGGACCUGCGGCUGCCGCAGGCCCUGAAAACCAGUGGCGGGCUCGCUGUCACACCGGGCGUAGUAGAUUUUAUCUCGCUCAGGGCGUGCUGCGGGUUCCGGCUGUUAAAAAGCCUUUUUUACCCAAGGUUGACCUCGGAUCAGGUAGGAAGACCCGCUGAACUUAAGCAUAUCAAUAAGCGGAGGA
rnacentral:misc_RNA from 1 species